CUUUCGGUCUCAUUUUUCUAUGGCAUUUGGUAAGUAGCUUAUCCCCCCUUCCCUUCUUCUUUAUUUUCUUAAAUCAAAAGAACGUAGCACGCCUGAGCGAUUUAGGUUGCAUUUAUUGGUUGGCGAGACAGGGGUAAGAUCUCGGCCAUGGGCCUGAAUCCGCAAAGCAGCAGUGGGGUUUUGUGAAGGACAAAAUGGCGAUGGCGGGCCGCGGCGACGGCGGCGGCCCUCUUUGUGAUGAGAACCUUUUCACAGACCUGUACUGAGCUCCGUGAGGAUAAGACUCUCUGAAGAGACGGGCCUUGCACAGCCGAAGUCCGACACAGUCGUAGCCCCGGAAAACAAAGCGAUUGUGAAAUCACGGGUGUUGAUUUAAUGUCCUCUUGUCUGUAGGGUUCGGGCGCACAUUCGAACGCUAAAGAAUGGAAAAGAGCCUGCUUCUUAGGAUGUGGUUCAGCUCAAAAGACCUUACAGGUUGGAGGAUGGGACAAGACCUAUCACUGCAAGCUAGGCAUUACAGUGAUGCUCCAGCAUCUCAUCACCAGGCUUGGAAUCCAACAGCCUCCCAAAGUGAAUACAGGUUGUCCUGA
rnacentral:lncRNA from 1 species